rnacentral:rRNA from 1 species
GACGAACGCUGGCGGCGUGCUUAACACAUGCAAGUCGAACGGAAAGGCCCUGCUUUUGUGGGGUGCUCGAGUGGCGAACUGGUGAGUAACACUUGAGUAACCUGUCCCUCACUUUGGGAUAACUUCAGGAAACUGGGGCUAAUACCGGAUAGGAGUUCUUGCUGCAUGGUGGGGGUGGGAAAGUUUCGGCGGUUGGGGAUGGACUGGCGGCUUAUCAGGUUGAUGGUGGGGUAGUGUCAUACCAAGGCCUUGACGCGUAGCAGGGCUGAGAGGGUGACCGGACCAGUUGCGACUGAGAUGCGACACAGACUAGUACGCGACGCGACGGAGCAGUAGGGAAUAUAGGACGCGGGGCGCUAGUGUGGCAACGCCGCGUGGGGGAUGUGAUGAAUCGCGUUGUGUAGCAAAUUCGCUAGUGACGGGACGUUAAUGACAGUAAUGGGAGAAGAAGCACCGGCUAACUACGUG